UACGUAGGGUGGCAAGCGUUGUCCGGAUUUACUGGGCGUAAAGAGCGCGCAGGCGGUCAGAUAAGUCGAAUGUGAAAGCCCCCGGCUCAACUGGGGAGGGUCAUUCGAUACUGUUCGACUCGAAGGCAGGAGAGGGAAGUGGAAUUCCCGGUGUAGUGGUGAAAUGCGUAGAUAUCGGGAGGAACACCAGUGGCGAAGGCGACUACCUGGCCUGUUCUUGACGCUGAGGCGCGAAAGCUAGGGGAGCAAACGGG
rnacentral:rRNA from 1 species